AUUCACAGCAAGCUAGAAUUCAAG
rnacentral:siRNA from 1 species